rnacentral:rRNA from 1 species
UGGGGAAUAUUGCACAAUGGAGGGAACUCUGAUGCAUCGACGCCGCGUGAACGAAGAAGGCUUUCGAGUCGUAAAUUUCUUUUAUAUGGGAAGAUAAUGACGGUACCAUAAGAAAAAGCCCCGGCUAACUACGUGCCAGCAGCCGCGGUAAUACGUAGGGGGCUAGCGUUGUCCGGAAUCACUGGGCGUAAAGGGUUCGCAGGCGGAAAUGCAAGUCAGGUGUAAAAGGCAGUAGCUUAACUACUGUAAGCAUUUGAAACUGCAUAUCUUGAGAAGAGGAGAGGUAAGUGGAAUUUUUAGUGUAGCGGGGAAAUGCGUAGAUAUUAAAAAGAAUACCGGUGGCGAAGGCGGCUUACUGGGCUCAUUCUGACGCUGAGGAACGAAAGCGUGGGUAGCAAACAGG